AUCCUGGCUGAUGGAUAUACUGAAGGCAUGAACGAUAUUAGUUGAACAAGGAAAUACACUUGAUCCAAAUUGUGAAGUUCUCUGCAGUGAAAUAUUAAAGGCGGCCCUCAAUGGAAAUACAUGGAGUUCUCCUCUCCUUGCCUGUGGAUGUGUACAUGCCUUCCUGAAGAAUUAAUUAACAAGCUAAACAGAGAAGGAUAACACUCAAGAAGCUGCCUAUAUGUAAGAGAUUCCUUUGAGAACUUUCAAAUGGCUCCUUCCUACAAAAAACCUGGGAAUACUUAACCUCCCACCACCAGCACACUCAAAGCUCAAGGCAAAUGCAUUUUCAAGAUUGACAGGGUCUUGGACUCUGAAAGUCUUUGUUUAUCUCUACAGAAGAAAUAAGGAAAUCGAAGAAGGCACGGUAACAGAGAUACAGGGAGGGAGGGAGGGAAUCAUAUUGUACUAUCCAGCACUACUAUUUUCUCUGAAUCUUCAGUAUUAGCUAGGAAGGAAGGAAGGAAAGAAGGGAGAGAGGGAAGGAAGGAGGGAUGGAAUGAAUUAUAUUGUACCAACCAGCACUA
rnacentral:lncRNA from 1 species